CCUACGGGUGGCAGCAGUGAGGAAUAUUGGUCAAUGGACGAGAGUCUGAACCAGCCAAGUAGCGUGAAGGAUGACUGCCCUAUGGGUUGUAAACUUCUUUUAUAUGGGAAUAAAAUGUUCCACGUGUGGGAUUUUGUAUGUACCAUAUGAAUAAGGAUCGGCUAACUCCGUGCCAGCAGCCGCGGUAAUACGGAGGAUCCGAUCGUUAUCCGGAUUUAUUGGGUUUAAAGGGAGCGUAGGUGGAUUGUUAAGUCAGUUGUGAAAGUUUGCGGCUCAACCGGAAAAUUGCAGUUGAAACUGGCAGUCUUGAGUACAGUAGAGGUGGGCGGAAUUCGUGGUGUAGCGGUGAAAUGCUUAGAUAUCACGAAGAACUCCGAUUGCGAAGGCAGUUCACUGGACUGCAACUGACACUGAGGCUCGAAAGUGUGGGUAUCAAACAGGAUUAGAUACCCCUGUAGUC
rnacentral:rRNA from 1 species